AAGAAUAUAUUUAGAAAUUGAAUUAAUGAUGUCAUGCUACUAUACAUUAUACAGGGUGUCCCGAAAAGAUUGGUCAUAAAUUAUACCACAGAUUCUGGGGUCAAAAAUAGGUUGAUUGAACCUUACUUACCUAUAUACAAUAGUGCACACAAAAAAAGUUACAGCCCUUUAAAGUUAAAAAAUGAAAAUCGAUUUUUUUUCAUAUAUCAAAAACUGACAGAGAUUUUUUAUUGAAAAUGGACAUGUGGCAUUUUUAUGGCAGCAACAUCUUAAAAAAAAAUUAAAGUGGAAUCUGUGCACCCCAUAAAAAUUUUAUAGGGGUUUUGUUCCCUUAAACCCCCCCAAACUUUUGUGUACGUUCCAAUUAAAUUAUUAUUGUGGUAUCAUUAGUUAAAUACAAUGUUUUUAAAACUUUUUUGCCUCUUAGUACUUUUUCGAUAAGUCAGUGUUUAUCGAGAUAUUUUGAAUAUUUGUCGAAUCCACCACAUAUUUGUAUAUGGUAAGUACGAUUAAAGAGACCUGUUAAUAAUCUGAAAAUUUAUUUAUCAUUAUAUUUUUAGGUAUAUUUUGAAAAAGAAGCUACAUCUCGAUAAAAGGUGACUUAUGAAAAAAAGACUAAGAAGCAAAAGUUUUAAAAACACUGUGUUUAACUAAUGGUACCACAAUAAUAGUUUAAUUGGAACGUACACAAACAUUUGGGGGGUUUAAAGGAACAAAACCCCCAUCAAAUUUUUACGUAAAUAUAUUGAAAAAGAAGCCACAUCUCGAUAAAAAUUGGCUUAUCGAAAAAAAAAUGGGAGGCAAAAAAAAUUUAAAAACGUUGUGUUUAACUAAUGGUAACACAAUAAUGAAUUAAUUGGAACGUACACAAAAGUUUGGGGGGGUUUAAGGGAACAAAAUUCCCAUAAAUUUUGUAUGGGGUGGACAAAUUUAACUGUAAUUUUGUUUUAAGAUGUUCCUGUCAUAAGAAUGAUACAUGUCCAUUUUUAAUAAAAAAUCUCUAAUAGUUUUCGAUAUAUUGAAAAAAAUCGAUUUUCAUUUUGUAACUUCAAAGGGCUGUAACUUUUUUUAUGAGCACAUUUGUACUAAGGUAAGUUAGGUUCAAUCGAACUAUUUUUGACCCCAGUAUGUGUGGUAUACUUUAUGACCAAUCUUUUCGGGACACCCUGUAUAUAUAGCAAGCAUAUACAGCUACUAUACAUUAUAUAUAUAAUAGCAUGACAUCAUUAAUUCAAUUUCUAAAUAUAUUCUUCCAUAUAUAUUUAUUUUUCUUAAUAUCUAUGCGAGUUGGGGUGUUAUGAAUAGGAUCGUAUCCAACUUGGUGUCUAUGCAUUUUGACGUUGCGACCCUGACAGAAAUUGUGGGGACAUCUGAUGACUGUCUCAAUUUGAAUCAAAUAAAUUUUCCUAUUGGGCUGACCAACUAUCCCUAUAUAAACAAUGCUAUUAUAUUUGUUUUUUGAAUGUUCUGAGAAUGUCUAGGUGUCAUUUGACUGUUUGAUGUAUUCUUGAAACAUUUUUUGACAGGUAACUUUAAUACUAACAAAAUAAAUCACUUAAAAUUUAACGUUUUAUUUCGUUUUCCAUAAAACUUAAAGAUAUACAGAUACGGAAAAAUUUUAUGGUGGGUAUUACAAAAUCAGCGAGAGAUACUCACAGAGAUAAUAGCAUGAUAUUUCCAUUCAUUAGAGAGAGAUGAAAAUCAUAUAUCCUUCUAGCCUUCCGAUUGAAAUCCGAAUGUUUCCGAUUGAAUAUAUCACUGUUUUAAAUAACAUCCUGCGUUGCCAGGUGUAUGAUAAUUAUUGUUUUUUCUGAAAUAAGACAUUUUGACGGUAAUCCUCUAUUUACUAAUUUCAGUGUUUUUGUAUUGUCUGCGUUAACUUUACCUCAUUCAUAAGCAAGUUGUGAAACAUUUCAAUCAGCUUAUAUUCAAAAGAAUUGUGUCAAUUUUACACUGACAGAAAUAAUGGUUACAACUAUAAAUUCAACCAAUUUAUACAAAAAAGAAGCUGAUGAUGAACUUGAAUCGAAUUAGUUUGGUGGCUUGGUGUUCUUAUAUAGCUAUACCGUUUUAAAUAUAUGUCUCUCAGUUGUUAACGUUGAAAGCCCGGUAAAUUUUUCCGAUAUUGGAUGUUGAAAACUAUUUACAGUGACAUGUGUUUGCUUAUAGCAGCCAUACUUUUUGCAGAUAUUAGAAUAUCUACAUUAAUAUAUGCUUAUUAACCUUAUUAACCUAACAACCAUAGAAAUAUAAUACUUAGACUGCGCGCUGCCAUCUAAAACUAUCUGACGAUUGCGACAGAGAAAACUGAGGCUAUUAGUUCGGAAGACUCUUUCUAAUCGACGAGGUUGAUCCAAUGACGUUGACGUUGACGUUUGCACUGUCGCCGAUUUGAUAAACUCCUCCGAUUAGAAAGAGGACUUCCGACCUAAUCUGCCGUCCUCAAAUAAAACGCGGUAUGUGCAGCCAACUUAAAACCGAGAAAUCGGCUCUCAAUGUUUUUUUUCAGGAUUCUAUAUGUUUUGACAACUUUUUAACGCAAAACAUGUUCUAAUGAUAGUUAAACAUUAUUUAAAAAUAAAUUAAAAAAAAUCAAUUUUUUAUCAAAGCUGUAAAUAAAAAGUCAUAUUUUUUUUUAAUUGAGCAGUGGACAUAUUACUGGAUCAGAAAUAGUGCCGUAUCUGCAUUUUAUUUACAAAUAUAGUUUUUUACAAGGAGGAAUAGUUACCAAAAAAGAAAAAUAAAUAGCUUAUAAUUGUUUUUUAUAUACGCAAAAUACCUACAAGCCAUAAAUGUUCAAAAUACGAGGUCGCAACAUCAGUCUCAUAAAACGCGGUAAAUGCGCUGUGCUCAAUUAAAACGCGGCAAGUACAUGAUACUCGCUAGCACAUACCGCUUUAUAAUUUAGUACUCUGUAGAUACCGCAUUUUAAUUAAGCAACUAUUGAAAUUUAGCACAUACGGCAUAUUCCAAUUUGUUUAUUUUGGUAGUAAAUAAAAUGAUACGGCUUUCAGACAUCGCAAAAGCAUAAAUAUGGUCACAAGGAAACCACAUAUAGCAAAAACUCGAUUUUCAAUUUUUUUGCAGAUACCGCGUUUUAAUUGAGGACGGCAGUAAUAGCCUCAGUUUUGUCUGACGUAAUCGUCAGAUAGUUUAAGAUAGCAGCGCGCAGUCUAGGUAUUAUAUAUCUAUGAUUUUACCUAACAUAACCUAAAAAUAAUUUCUACAGCUGUCAUAAUAACCUAAACGCUAUGCAACGUGUUGAAACGCCAUAAUCGCUAGAUGCUGUUUGUUCGGUAUAUUUAAGAAACAAUAUCUGAAUGUCUUAGUAUUUAUUAUAAAGGAAAUCAGUCUAAAAGUAUGCCGGUCGAAAGAGCAUUAUAAUUUUUUCCAUCUGUGUGUUCAAAAUUGCUGUGAAAUUUCUGUCAGCUAAAACAUAUAUAUUCUUUUAAUAUUAUUGACUGUAUUUGUUUUUACCAAAGUCGUGUAAUAAAUUAAUUGUAUAGUUAUAUGUUCGUCUGCUAAAGUUGGUGACAAAUUUUAUGAAUUUAUUGACGUUUGUUUAUAAUUUAUAAUGUACACUAUAUAGUGUUAUUCUUUCUUUAUUUAAACAUUUUCAUAAUAACGAUUUUUAAAUAUUCUUAACCGCUCUUGAAAUGUUCAAUAGCUUUACUGAUUUUUCACUUUUUUUCAGUAGACUCUCUUUAUAACGAGAACUGAAAUGGAAGACUAAUUACCGCGUUAUAAGCAGAUCUCGUUCAGACAAUAAUAAUAUUGAAAUGUUUUGAUGCCUCUUAUAUAGUUUAUUAGGUGUCGAUGGUCGACUUAAACAAUGAGACUUCGCCAUCGUAAAUUGUAAAUUUCCUACAGUAUUCAAUAUCAGUCAAUAGAUACACAGGAAGUUUAUUACAGGCGGUGGAGUUUAUUACAGCACUGGCCUCGAUAAUAACACAGAUGUUGGGCAUUUCUAUAUACAGGCAGUUGGGGUAUUUGUUUAUAGCCACUACUGCGCUAAAAAACGCAAAGAAACGUAUUCUUCGAUUUCAUUUUUCCUCGUUAUAACCAAAUAUGCCACGUUAUAUAGGUGUUAUAAAUAUGAAUUUCAUCGGACAUCUAGUGUACCUCGUUAUAAGCGAAACCUCGUAAUAUCCGUGUUCGUUAUAGAGAGAGUCCACUGUAAUACACUUUUUUAAUUGACGUAAAAAAUUUAAGUAAAGUAAAGGAAAAUACUAAUGGAUAUUGUAUACAAAAUACAAAUUAAUGGACCACCAAUUUGACAUCAACAAUGUUUAACAGAUGAACAUGCGAUAUAAUCGUAAGUAUUAUGAAAAUUGUCAUUCCAUUUAGAAUUCUAAUAAAUUAAUAUUGUUGCUUGAGGGGGAGGUUACUAAUAACGUUAAAAAUGUUACUUGGGUAAUACAACAUUCUAAUUGGUUCCUUAGACAACAAAAUAUAUCUUUCUAAAAGACUGUAGAGUUUUUCUAUAUAGCAUUUCACGUUAAGAAUAGAACAUUGCGAAGAUAGCGCCAUGUAUUUCUUAUGGACGAUAGAAAUGGCAUGGCGCUGAUGCCAUGCCGUACUGACUAGAAUGAAUCGUAUAUCGGCAGUCGAGGAUUCACCCGUGCGUGAGAGGUUUGGCAACACUGAUCUCCGUAAGCGUAACGUUCUAUUCUUAACGUGAAACAAAGUAUAGUUCAAAAAUACACUGGCAGGCAAAAAAUGUACGUCACAUUUAAAUUUUGUAUCCGGUUUCUUAGUAGGCACCGAUAUACUGGUUUUCGAGAAAUUAUCUCUCAUUCAAGUCAAGCAGAGCUUAGCAAAAGGAUCACCCUAUCCAAUACUUCAUAUCUUGCUAUGAACGAGAUAUUUAUACCACGGGACGUACUUUAAAGAAUAUACGAAUAAAAAAUGAAUAAACAUUUUCAGUUUUGUUGCAACCCGAAACUGCAGUCGUAUUAUAUUUUUAGUUCAAUCAGAGAGUACAGCAAGCAUCUCUACCGGUUUCGGGGCUUCGUAGCCCCUCAUCAGGAGAUACAUAUGCUCUUCUCUGUAACAGAACCAGGUUAAUACUCCGCGUGCAGUCACGAACGAAAUGGCAGGGAUGCACUGGCGACAUCUGCUAGAAAAAAUUUUAAUCUAAUAGCACAUAAAAUGAUAUUAAAAAUACCAUUUUAUAUCGUACCAGAUUAAAAACAAUGGAAAACUUUCUUUGGUUACAACAUUCGAGCCUUCUAAAAAUGCAAGCCAUACGGAUUCUGAGACUAGAGGAAGAUGAGGGAAUUUUACAAUUCACAUCCCACAACUAAUAUACGAAUCUACAAGACCAUAACCCAACCGAUAGUGAGCUAUGGAUAUGAAACCUGGAUAUUGACUCAAAAAUCUAUAAACCGCAUGGACAUCUUUGGAAGAAAUGUACUGAGACGAAUACCACGACCUAUAAAUGAGAACAACAGUUGGCGAAUCAGAUACAAGAACCACCUUUAUCUCAGUAUGUCCGCUUACAGUGCCUUCAAUGGACAGACCAUGUAUUUAAAUGUAAGAAUACAGAGGAAGAGAACUAUCCGAACGUCAAAAAAGCGAUGGGAGGAUAAUGUGGAAGAGGACGCAAGAAAUCUCCUUAGCAGUCGGUCGUGGAGGAGAAUGGCAACAUACCAUAACAAAUGAAGAGGUUUGUUGAGGAAGGCCAGGUCUCGAGUUUGGCUGUAGAGCUAUAAGAUCCAUCCUAUCUACAUCCCAGUGUAUGCAAGUGUAUAAUUUUCUAAUAAUAAAUAAUUAAAAAUCUCUGUAUUACCCAAGUAUUUCAUGAGUAGCAAAUGCUCUCUAAAUAUGUAUGACAAUGUAAUUGGAUCUUAAAAUGUUUAAUGUUACAAAAUUUGUAAAGAAUUGUUCCAACCAAUGCUCUCGAUAUAUUGAAUCGAUGUGCUGUAAUAUACAGUUGAGUCCCUGAAUCUUAACCCGUGCUCAUCAUUUAAAGCAUACGAAAUAAGUCGAUGAUAAGUCGGAAAUUGAAAUUUACUAAACGCAACAGGAAGUGACAGUAAUUGGCAAUUUAUAUUGUCUUAUCUUAUAGUUUUCUAAUUGUACAGAUUAUAUUCGUAGAUGUAUUAUAUAAUUCGUAAAUAAUUUUUUUUUCGAUUAUAGCGCCAUCUAUCGACAACAAUGUCUGUAAUCACAGACUUGCCUUUUUUUCUGUCACAUACAAUUUAAUGCAUUAGAAAGAAAUCGAAAAACUGUGACGCACUGAAAAAUGCUCAUGAAAAGGACUUUACCUACAUAUAUAACAGAAUUGUUUACUUCAUUCUACGUUGUCUUUUUUAUAUUACGAAAUGGCAUUGUGUGGGACAUUUCUUUCACUAUUUAGCUGAGAUUGCAAUUCGCAAUAUAGGAAAAUUGUAUGUAACUGUUAUCAAUUAAGUAAAUGAUGAAAAUAUAAAAGCAAAUCUAUCUCAAUUCAUAUUUGAGGCCAUGAGAGCCAGAGUGGCCUAACUGAUUUUAACAUUACUUUACAUAAUUAAAAAAAAAUUGAUCAGAAGCUAACAAUGUCCGCUUGUUUUAGUAAUUGUAUGUUGACUAAUAAUGAUUCUUGAUCAACAUAAAACUACUAAAGCAAUCGGACAUUGUUAACUUCUGAUCAUUUUCUUUGAUUAUGUAAAGUAAUGUCAAAAUCAGUUAGGCCACUCUGGCUCUCAUGACCUCAUUUGAAAUAAAUUUUCUUGAAAAAUUUAUUUAGUAAAAAUCCGUUAUAAAAGGUAUAUAUUUAAUUAAAGUCCCUUAAAGGGCUACAUCAUAAUCCCAGAACGUUUUCGAUCAAAAAAGAUCAUCAUCAGUGCUGAAACAGGAUAAUAACAUGCUGAGCCACCAAAAUAAAAAUAUGUGGGUAAAAACCCUUUAAAAGUUAAAAAAGAUCAAGGCAGGUUUUGUUUAUAUUUGAUUCAGAGUUGGACCACCAUCUCCAUAUAGCUAUUUCAGCAUCCUUAUGCCUCAUCGUGGGGGCAUCGUGGGCUUAUGGGGCUUUUCGUUGUUUUCCUUUAAAAGUAUUACAAUUAUGAGAAAUUUACCUUAUUGUGUUUAACUAUCAGUUGAAAUUGUCCUAGAUUUAGCACUAGGCAUGUGGUUAACUGGAGGAGAGCAGCCAGGGACAGAGAUAACAGCCCCCAGGGAGGGGGCAGGGCCCGACUUGGGUUGUAGCGCCAUAGGCGAGAGAAAUGUCAGUGGGUUUCCUCAGUAAUUGGGUUUGAAAUAAGGAGCUGGUGUUAGAGAGCGUUUUGAUUUAAAUCUGUCUCCUGCCAUCCCCGAUAGUACUAUUUUGUCAAGUAGGCCCUGCAGAAGACAAAUUUACACCAAAACAUCCGUAGUUCUCGGUACAAAAAUAAAACUAUUUAUACCGUAGUAUGGUUAGAACGCCCUCUAACGGAGAAUAAGUGAAAUGAAUGUCGACUCGAUUCAAGUUCUCUGUUUAACCCAGAUAUGACAAUAUCAAAAGGCGCCGCUAGGAAAAUAUUCCAAUAUGCGGUUCAGAGAACCUGUAUGAAACGAGUCUUUGUACUCUAAUACAGAGUAUGGCAUUAUUAAAAUUAGAAAGUUAGAUAAUUAGAUAACUUUCUAAUUUUACUAAUGCCAUACUCUGUAUUAGAGUACAAAUACUCGUUUCAUACAGUUCUCUGAACCGCAUAUUGGAAUAUUUUCCUAGCGGUGCCUUUUGAUAUUGUCAUAUCUGGUUAAACAGAGAACUUGAAUCGAGUCGACAUUCAUUUCAUUAAAACAAAAGCAAUGAUGUCGGAAUUAUUGAUAUAGAUUUGAUUUCAUAUUUGAAAAUUGUCUUAUAAUAUAUUGUAACUCGAAAACAAGGGAUGGAAAUUGUAAUUUUAUGGUACAUUUCAAAGAAAAACGAUGGUUUUAAGAAGGAAAUAAUACAGUAAUCGCCAACUAGAAAGAACCAACGCGACUUAUCUUUAGUAUCUUCAAAUGAAGCCGAGAAGCCGUUGAUGGAUGAUGUUAACAAACUGUCAGGCUGAAAUUAAACGACCGCGUGAGUUUAUUUUUAUUAAUUUAUUAUUGUAGCGGUUUUUUUACUUAAAUAACUUAUAAUUACAAAGAAACAAGCGGUUCGUAUUUAUAUACGAUUUUAUUUAUAUAACAGUACAGACGAAUUUAUUUUUACAGACUAACUACUAAAAAAUCCAUCCUUAUUUAUAUUGAAUACAAAAAUAUGAGUCAUGUUUUUGAACGUUCCAGAAAAACGGAACCGCCCAACUUUAGUAGUGUAGGCGAUCAUUCUCGAGAAAUCUUUUCCUCGCUCGUCUAAUGAGUCAUCCUUCCAGAUGUCUGCUUACGUGACGCGCUGUCGAGACGGAACCUGUUAUUUACGGUCGGUAAUUCGUCACAUUAUGUUAUAAAAAUAUCCCUAGACUUUUCCUAUGUGUGUAUUUGCGAGUGCAAUUGGUUUUAGACCGUAGUUUUAAAACAGUUGCGCCGUGGGCACUGGACCUAAGAUGAUGAAGAUUAGAAUUUGGCCUUUCUAGUUGGCGAUCACCGUGCACUAAUAAGUAUACGAAUAAUGUUAUAAAAAUGUAUUAAACAUCUGCGUAAAAAGACAAUUUUCCUGCGUUGUUAUCGAGAAAUUCAUAUGUUGAAUAUAUUUCUGUGGUAUUUUAAAAUUUUUAAAUAUCGGUUAUAUUUGAUGGUUACAUAUUUAUCUGGAAUAAACGUAUAGAAUGCAAAAA